rnacentral:rRNA from 1 species
GCCUUGGCACUAGAAGCCGAUGAAGGACGUUACUAACGACGAUAUGCUUUGGGUAGCUGUAAGUAAGCGUUGAUCCAGAGAUUUCCGAAUGGGGGAACCCAGCAUGAGUUAUGUCAUGUUAUCGACAUGUGAAUUUAUAGCAUGUCAGAAGGCAGACCCGGAGAACUGAAACAUCUUAGUACCCGGAGGAAGAGAAAGAAAAAUCGAUUCCCUGAGUAGCGGCGAGCGAAACGGGAAGAGCCCAAACCAACAAGCUUGCUUGUUGGGGUUGUAGGACACUCUAUACGGAGUUACAAAAGAACAUGUUAGACGAAUCAUCUGGAAAGAUGAAUCAAAGAAGGUAAUAAUCCUGUAGUCGAAAACAUAUUCUCUCUUGAGUGGAUCCUGAGUACGACGGAGCACGUGAAAUUCCGUCGGAAUCUGGGAGGACCAUCUCCUAAGGCUAAAUACUCUCUAGUGACCGAUAGUGAACCAGUACCGUGAGGGAAAGGUGAAAAGUACCCCGGAAGGGGAGUGAAAGAGAACUUGAAACCGUGUGCUUACAAGUAGUCAGAGCCCGUUAAUGGGUGAUGGCGUGCCUUUUGUAGAAUGAACCGGCGAGUUACGAUCUGAUGCAAGGUUAAGCAGCAAAUGUGGAGCCGCAGCGAAAGCGAGUCUGAAUAGGGCGUUGAGUAUUUGGUCGUAGACCCGAAACCAGGUGAUCUACCCUUGGUCAGGUUGAAGUUCAGGUAACACUGAAUGGAGGACCGAACCGACUUACGUUGAAAAGUGAGCGGAUGAACUGAGGGUAGCGGAGAAAUUCCAAUCGAACUUGGAGAUAGCUGGUUCUCUCCGAAAUAGCUUUAGGGCUAGCCUCAAGUGAUGAUUAUUGGAGGUAGAGCACUGUUUGGACGAGGGGCCCCUCUCGGGUUACCGAAUUCAGACAAACUCCGAAUGCCAAUUAAUUUAACUUGGGAGUCAGAACAUGGGUGAUAAGGUCCGUGUUCGAAAGGGAAACAGCCCAGACCACCAGCUAAGGUCCCAAAAUAUAUGUUAAGUGGAAAAGGAUGUGGCGUUGCCCAGACAACUAGGAUGUUGGCUUAGAAGCAGCCAUCAUUUAAAGAGUGCGUAAUAGCUCACUAGUCGAGUGACACUGCGCCGAAAAUGUACCGGGGCUAAACAUAUUACCGAAGCUGUGGAUUGUCCUUUGGACAAUGGUAGGAGAGCGUUCUAAGGGCGUCGAAGCAUGAUCGCAAGGACAUGUGGAGC